rnacentral:rRNA from 1 species
AGCCAGACUCCUACGGGAGGCAGCAGUGGGGAAUAUUGCACAAUGGGGGAAACCCUGAUGCAGCGACGCCGCGUGAGUGAAGAAGUAUUUCGGUAUGUAAAGCUCUAUCAGCAGGGAAGAAAAAAGACGGUACCUGACUAAGAAGCCCCGGCUAACUACGUGCCAGCAGCCGCGGUAAUACGUAGGGGGCAAGCGUUAUCCGGAAUUACUGGGUGUAAAGGGUGCGUAGGUGGCAUGGUAAGUCAGAAGUGAAAGCCCGGGGCUUAACCCCGGGACUGCUUUUGAAACUUUCAUGCUGGAGUGCAGGAGAGGUAAGCGGAAUUCCUAGUGUAGCGGUGAAAUGCGUAGAUAUUAGGAGGAACACCAGUGGCGAAGGCGGCUUACUGGACUGUCACUGACACUGAUGCACGAAAGCGUGGGGAGCAAACAGGAUUAGAUACCCGAGUAUA